AAUGCUGUUUGGGGGUUCUCUGCAGAAGAGCAAAGCAGAAAACAGGACAGACUGGAAGAAAAAAGAAUAAGGACAAUAAAAGCACAGAGUUUAAUAAUAACCGCAGAACACAACAAGCAUGUCCUGCAGAUAAAGAAACCAGACACUGGGCUAAACCCAGACAGUGGAGCAGAAAAACGGCCAACGUCCUUGGAGAUGGGCUGUUGUCAAAACAGGCACAGGCCCAGGAGGAAUCGCAUUCUGAGUGCACCCCCAAGGCGAGAAACCGCAGGUAGACUUCUGCCCAAUGGAUCUAGACUGCAGGGGCCUCCCCUUCCCGGGCAAAGGGGGCGGAGGACGGGAAGGGAAGGGCUGGAGGCCCAGCCGCUGAUUCAGACCAUGACUCAGCUCUGACGACUCAGCUCUGAUGGGCAGGCCUGCGUUCGGCACCACUGGGGGAUUCUGCCCGAAGCGCCUUUCCAACCUCACCUACCAGGUCCCUUUAGAAAACUGAUGGACAGACAGCCGACAAGGACCUACUAUACAGAGCAGGGAACCGUAAGCAAAUGUUUUGUGAUAACCUACAAGGAAAAAGCAACUGAAUAUCUAUCUAUCUAUAAACGAACCAUGCUUAAACAACUGAACGGCCAUCGCUGUUAUACAGUUAUCACUGAUGUACUCCUGAAACUAAUGUGACACCUGUAUAUCAACUAUACUUUAAUAGAAAUGUUUAAAAAAAGUAAAUCAACUGUAAU